rnacentral:lncRNA from 1 species
UCCCCAUUUCUUCUCUAGCCUGAGCCUGGCACACUAUUCUAGCUAGACAUGGGUGUGGCUCAUAACACUUGUUGACUAAAUGGAUCGACGGCACCAUCGAAUCUCAAACUUUAACUGCCAAAACUAUUGUUUUUCAUCCUGUAGUCCCAUUUAGAAUUAUUAAACGUCCUUUUUUGGGCCGAUAUUUAGAGUAAUGCUUUCUCGGGGUUUGUCUGCAAGUAUUUCAAACCAUACGGACCUAAAAAUUAGAAGUCAUUCCAUCUUUAUUCCCCUAGAGCCUUCCAGCAGUUCCUAAACCGCUCUAGUCGGAGCACGUUAUCAUUCUUGUUAGUUCUGAGUGAAUUCCCUCAGUAUGAUAAUUCUUUCAUCUGUUUGUUCCCCGUUUCUUCUCUAGCCUGAGCCUGACACACUAUUCAAGCUAGACAUGGAUGUGGCUCGUAACACCUGAUGACCAAACGGAUCUACGGCACCAUCGAAUCCCAAACUUUAACUGCCAAAACUAUUGUUUUUCAUCCUGUAGUCCCUUUUAGAAUUACUAAACGUCCUUUUUUGGGCCGAGAUUUCCAGGAAUGCUUUCUCGGGGUUUGUGUGCAAGUAUUUCAAACCAUACAAAGCUAGAAAUUAGAAGUCAUUCCAUCUUUAUUAUCGUAGAGCCUUCCAGCAGUUCCUAAACCGGUCUAGUCGGAGCACGUUAUCAUUCUAGUUAGUUCUGAGUGAAUUCCCUCGGUAUGAUAAUUCUUUCAUCAGUUUGUUCCCCGUUUCUUCUCUAGCCUGAGCCUGACAAACUAUUCUAGCUAGACAUGCGUGUGGCUCGUAACACCUGAUGACCAAACGGAUCUAUAGCACCAUCGAAUCUCAAACUUUAACUGCCAAAACUAUUGUUUUCAUCCUGUAGUCCCUUUUAGAAUUACUAAACUUCCUUUUUUGGGCCGAGAUUUAGAGGAACGCUUUCUGGGGUUUGUGUGCAAGUAUUUCAAACCAUACAGACCUAAAAAUUAGAAGUCAUUCCAUCUUUAUUCCCCUAGAGCCUUCCAGCAGUUCCUAAACCGCUCUAGUCGGAGCACGUUAUCAUUAUUGUUAGUUCUGAGUGAAUUCCCUCGGUAUGAUAAUUCUUUCAUCAGUUUGUUCCCUGUUUCUUCUCUAUCCUGAGCCUGACACACUAUUCUAGCUAGACAUGGGUGUGGCUCGUAACACCUGAUGACUAAAUGGAUCGACGGCACCAUCGAAUCUCAAACUUUAACUGCCAAAACUAUUGUUUUUCAUCCUGUAGUCCCAUUUAGAAUUAGUAAACGUCCUUUUUUGGGCCGAGAUUUAGAGGAACGCUUUCUCGGGGUUUGUGUGCAAGUAUUUCAAACCAUACGGACCUAAAAAUUAGAAGUCAUUCCAUCUUUAUUCCCCUAGUCAUCAGGUAUACACUCAAGUCGGAGCACGUUAUCAUUCUUGUUAGUUCUGAGUGAAUUCCCUCGGUAUGAUAAUUCUUUCAUAAAUUUGUUCCCCGUUUCUUAUAUGGCCUGAGCCUGACACACUAUUCUAGCUAGACAUGGGUGUGGCUCGUAACACCUGAUGACCAAACGGAUCUACGGCACCAUCAAAUCUCAAACUUUAACUGCCAAAACUAUUCUUUUUCAUUCUGUAGUCCCUUCUAGAAUUACUAAACGUCCUUUUUUGGGCCGAGAUUUCCAGGAACGCUUUCUCGGGGUUUGUGUGCAUGUAUUUCAAACCAUACAGACCUAAAAAUUAUAAGUCAUUCCAUCUUUAUUCCCGUAGAGCCUUCCAGUAGUUCCUAAACCGCUCCAGUCGGAGCAUGUUAUCAUUCUUGUUAGUUCUAAGUGAAUUCCCUCGGUAUGAUAAUUCUUUCAUCAGUUUGUUCCCCGUUUCUUCUCUAGCCUGAGCCUGGCACACUAGUCUAGCUAGACAUGGGUGUGGCUCGUAACACCCGAUGACUAAAUGGAUCGACGGCACCAUCGAAUCUCAAACUUUAACUGCCAAAACUAUUGUUUUUCAUCCUGUAGUCCCAUUUAGAAUUACUAAACGUCCUUUUUUGGGCCGAGAUUUAGAGGAACGCUUUCUCGUGGUUUGUGUGCAAGAAUUUCAAACCAUACGGACCUAAAAAUUAGAAGUCAUUCCAUCUUUAUUCCCCUAGAGCCUUCCAGUAGUUCCUAAACCGCUCUAGUCGGAGCACGUUAUCAUUCUUGUUAGUUCUGAGAGAAUUCCCUCGGUAUGAUAAUUCUUUUAUCAGUUUGUUCCCCGUUUCUUCUCUAGCCUGAGCCCGACACACUAUUCUAGCUAGACAUGGGUGUGGCUCGUAACACCUGAUGACCAAACGGAUCUACGGCACCAUCGAAUCUCAAACUUUAACUGCCAAAACUAUUGUUUUUCAUCCUGUAGUCCCUUUUAGAAUUACUAAAUGUCCUUUUUUGGGCCGAGAUUUCCAGGAACGCUUUCUCAGGGUUUGUGUGCAAGUAAUUCAAACCAUACGGACCUAAAAAUUAGAAGUCAUUCCAUCUUUAUUCCCCUAGAGCCUUCCAGCAGUUCCUAAACCGCUCAAGUCAGUGCACGUUAUCAUUCUUGUUAGUUCUAAGUGAAUUCCCUCGGUAUGAUAAUUUGUUCAUCAGUUUGUUCCCCGUUUCUUCUCUAGCCUGAGCCUGACACACUAUUCUAGCUAGACAUGGGUGUGGCUCGUAACACCUGAUGACCAAACGGAUCUACGACACCAUCGAAUCUCAAACUUUAACUACCAAAACUAUUGUUUUUCAUCCUCUAGUCCCUUUUAGAAUUACUAAACGUCCUUUUUUGGGCCGAGAUUUCCAGGAACGCUUUCUCGGGGUUUGUGUGCAUGUAUUUCAAACCAUACAGACCUAAAAAUUAGAAGUCAUUCCAUCUUUAUUCCCGUAGAGCCUUCCAGCAGUUCCUAAACCGCUCCAGUCGGAGCAUGUUAUCAUUCUUGUUUGUUCUGAGUGAAUUCCCUCGGUAUGAUAAUUCUAUCAUCAGUUUGUUCCCCGUUUCUUCUCUAGCCUGAGCCUGGCAAACUAUUCUAGCUAGACAUGGGUGUGGCUCGUAACACCUGAUGACCAAACGGAUCUACGACACCAUCGAAUCUCAAACUUUAACUACCAAAACUAUUGUUUUUCAUUCUAUAGUCCCUUCUAGAAUUUCUAAACGUCCUUUUUUGGGCCGAGAUUUCCAGGAAUGCUUUCUCGGGGUUUGUGUGCAAGUAUUUCAAAUCAUACGGACCUAAAAAUUAGAAGUCAUUCCAUCUUUAUUCCCCUAGAGCCUUCCAGUAGUUCCUAAACCGCUCCAGUCGGAGCACGUUAUCAUUCUUGUUAGUUCAUAGUGAAUUCCCUCGGUAUGAUAAUUCUUUCAUCAGUUUGUUCCCCGUUUCUUCUCUAGCCUGAGCCUGGCACAGUAUUCUAGCUAGACAUGGGUGUGGUCGUAACACCUGAUGACUAAAUGGAUCGACGGCACCAUCGAAUCUCAAACUUUAACUGCCAAAACUAUUGUUUUUCAUCCUGUAAUCCCAUUUAGAAUUACUAAACGUCCUUUUUUGGGCCGAGAUUUAGAGGAACGCUUUGUUGGGGUUUGUGUGCAAGUAUUUCAAACCAUACGGACCUAAAAAUUAGAACUCAUUCCAUAUUUAUUCCCCUUGAGCCUUCCAGCAGUUCCUAAACCGCUCUAGUCGGAGCACGUUAUCAUUCUUGUUAGUUCUAAGAGAAUUCCCUCGGUAUGAUAAUUCUUUUAUCAGUUUGUUCCCCGUUUCUUCUCUAGACUGGGCCCGACACACUAUUCUAGCUAGACAUGGGUGUGGCUCGUAACACCUGAUGACCAAACGGAUCUACGGCACCAUCGAAUCUCAAACUUCAACUGCCAAAACUAUUGUUUUUCAUCCUGUAGUCCCUUUUAGAAUUACUAAACGUCCUUUUUUGGGCCGAGAUUUCCAGGAACGCUUUCUCGGGGUUUGUGUGCAAGUAUUUCAAACCAUACGGACCUAAAAAUUAGAAGUCAUUCCAUCUUUAUUCCCGUAGAGCCAUCCAGCAGUUCCUAAACCGCUCCAGUCGGAGCACGUUAUCAUUCUUGUUAGUUCUGAGUGAAUUCCCUCGGUAUGAUAAUUCUUUCAUCAGUUUGUUCCCCGUUUCUUCUCUAGCCUGAGCCUGACAAACUAUUAUAGCUAGACAUGGGUGUGGCUCGUAACACCUGAUGACCAAACGGAUCUAUGGCACCAUCGAAUCUCAAACUUUAACUGCCAAAACUAUUGUUUUUCAUCCUGUAGUCCCUUUUAGAAUUACUAAACGCCCUUCUUUGGGACGAGAUUUCCAGGAACGCUUUCUCGGGGUUUGUGUGAAAGUAAUUCAAACCAUACGGACCUAAAAAUUAGAAGUCAUUCCAUCUUUAUUCCCGUGGAGCCUUCCAGUAGUUCCUAAACCGCUCCAGUCGGAGCACGUUAUCAUUCUUGUUAGUUCUGAGUGAAUUCCCUCGGUAUGAUAAUUCUUUCAUCAGUUUGUUCCCUGUUUCUUCUCUAGCCUGAGCCUGGCACACUAUUCUAGCUAGACAUGGGUGUGGCUCGUAACACCUGAUGACUAAACUGAUCAAUGACACCAUCGAAUCUCAAACUUUAACUGCCAAAACUAUUGUUUUUCAUCCUGUAGUCCCAUUUAGAAUUACUAAACGUCCUUUUUUGGGCCGAGAUUUCCAGGAACGCUUACUCGGGGUUUGUGUGCAAGUAUUUCAAACCAUACUGACCUAAAAAUUAGAAGUCAAUCCAUCUUUAUUCCCCUAGAGCCUUCCAGCAGUUCCUAAACCGCUCCAGUCGGAGCACGUUAUCAUUCUUGUUAGUUCUGAGUGAAUUCCCUCGGUAUGAUAAUUCUUUCAUCAGUUUGUUCCUUGUUUCUUCUCUAGCCUGAACCUGACACACUAUUCUAGCUAGACAUGGGUGUGGCUCGUAACACCUGAUGACCAAACGGAUCUACGGCACCAUCGAAUCUCAAACUUUAACUGCCAAAACUAUUAUUUUUAAUCCUCUAGUCCCAUUUAGAAUUACUAAACGUCCUUUUUUGGGCCGAGAUUUAGAGGAACGCUUUCAUGCGGUUUGUGUGCAAGUAUUUCAAACCAUACGGACCUAAAAAUUAGAAGUCAUUCCAUCUUUAUUCCCCUAGAGCCUUCCAGCAGUUCCUAAACCGCUCCAGUCGGAGCAUGUUAUCAUUCUUGUUAGUUCUGAGUGAAUUCCCUCGGUAUGAUAAUUCUUUCAUCAGUUUGUGGCCCGUUUCUUCUCUAGCCUGAGCCUGACACACUAUUCUAGCUAGACGUGGGUGUGGCUCGUAACACCUGAUGACCAAACGGAUCUACGGCACCAUCGAAUCUCAAACUUUAAGUGCCAAAACUAUUAUUUUUAAUCCUGUAGUCCCAUUUAGAAUUACAAAAAUGUCCUUUUUUGGGCUGAGAUUUCCAGGAACGCUUUCGUGCGGUUUGUGUGCAAGUAUUUCAAACCAUACAGACCAAAAAAUUAGAAGUCAUUCCAUCUUUAUUCCCU